GUGGUUGUGGCUCAGUGGCAGAGCACUUGCCUAACAUGUGUGAGGCACUGGGUUCAAUUCUCAGCACCACA
rnacentral:tRNA from 1 species